CACGUAGGGUGCGAGCGUUGUCCGGAAUUAUUGGGCGUAAAGAGCUCGUAGGCGGUGUGUCGCGUCGGCCGUGAAAACCUGCAGCUUAACUGUGGGCUUGCGGUCGAUACGGGCAUCACUUGAGUUCGGCAGGGGAGACUGGAAUUCCUGGUGUAGCGGUGAAAUGCGCAGAUAUCAGGAGGAACACCCGUGGCGAAGGCGGCACUCUGGGACGGUACUGACGCUGAGACGCGAAAGCGUGGGGAGCGAACAGG
rnacentral:rRNA from 1 species